AGUUUAAGGAAAUAAUCUUAAAUGAAUUCUGCCCAGUGAUUUUUUUUUAAAUGGCCGCAGUACCUUGACUGUGCUAAGGUAGCAUAAUCAAUUGGCUUCUAAUUAAAGUCUGGAAUGAAAGGAAAUAUGAAGUAAUUCUAUCUUAAAGGAUUUUUUUUGAAUUUAUUUAAAUGAUGAAAAUAUCAUUUUAUAGAAAAAAGACGAGAAGACCCUUAGAGUUUUGAUAUUUAUAUAUUUUUGUUGGGGCGACAGGUAAACAUAUAACUUUACGAAUUAUCAUAUUGAUCGAUUUUUUAUAAGAAUAAUAAAAACUACCUUAGGGAUAACAGCAUUAUAUUUUUUUAUGAUUGUGACCUCGAUGUUGGACUAGGAACUUUAUGGCUAGCCGUCAAAAAAGAUUUGUUCUGUUCGAACAAUUUUAUCCUAC
rnacentral:rRNA from 1 species